AAGUCGUAACAAGGUUUCCGUAGGUGAACCUGCGGAAGGAUCAUUAAUUAUUUGUAAUUAUUAUGAUUAUAUUUAAUUAGUCACGUAACUGUAUUUAAGUGAGUUUAACUUAUUUGAAUCAGUUUAUUGACAUCUAAUUGAUUUAGUUUCGAUCGUUUAUUAUAAAUGGUCUGAAGCGUUAAUUCAGGUUUAAAACCCUGAAUCAAAACUAAUGUUAAUGUUAAUUUAUCCAAAAUUAUAUUCUAAUUAUUAAUUACUUAAUAACUAAUAACAAUGGAUCUCUUGGCACU
rnacentral:misc_RNA from 1 species